UGGUUGCCCGAGAACCGAGUUUAAGCUCAGCUUUUUAACUUCUUAACUCACCAACUGUAGAAACCAAGCCGACUCCAAGAAAUUAAAAAAGUUAAUCAAAGGGGGUACAGCUCCUUUGAUCAAAGAAACAACUUUCACAGGUGAAUAAGGAUCAUAAUUACCAAGGCCAUGUGUUUAGGUGGGCCUAAAAGCAGCCACCCUGUAGAAAGCGUUAAAGCUCGAACACACCCCUGCCACCAAUACCGAUAAUACAUCCUAAUCCCUGACUUAUAUCGGGCCUCUCUAUGCCCCCAUAGAAGAGAUUAUGCUAAUAUGAGUAAUAAGGGGCCCUUGACCCCCUCCAAGCACAAGUGUACAUCGGAACGAACCCCCACCGAAACCCAACGGACCCAGCCAAAGAGGGCAAUGAAUAUCAAACCAAACAACCAGAAAAACAUUCACCACCCAA
rnacentral:rRNA from 1 species